rnacentral:lncRNA from 1 species
UUGUGAGGGGCGGAGUUCCAUCAGCCCUGCGCUGGAGGCGGAGGCAGCUCGCCUACCUUUCUUGUCCACCUGGGAGAGCGGAGGACACCGAGGCUUUCUAUCAAAGAGCAAGCAUUCUCACUGAACAUCAGGAAAAAGGGGAAGUCGAAACCGAGUGGCAAAACAUCUAGACACAGUAAAAAUAUCUGUGGAUGAUUAUUGGAGACAGCUGGGGCAGGGUUCAUGGCGGGGGAAUCAUAGUAAAACAGCCAAUUGAAUGAAGGGUUACAAUUUCAAAAAGAAACCCGGCAUAGUGGCAAAUGUUUGCAAACCCGGAACUGAAGAAGCAGAAGCAGAAGGAUUGUGGUGAAUCGGAGGAUUGACUAGACAGUGAGAUCCAGGCCAGCCUAAGCAAUACAAUGAGGUCCUCCCUCAAAAAACAAAAUAAAUAUAAAAAGUAAACAUAAAUUCAGCGGGAAAAACAAAGGUAAAGACAAAUUAAUGGAUUCAGAGAAUUAAUACCUUUUGAAGUAAUAAAUCCAAUGUGAGAGUUAGUUACAUUUUGAGUUUCAAUUACUAUGCCUAAGAGAUCCAUGAAACAAAAAUGUGUCUGAUCUUGCAAGCCCCUUGCCCAAGGACAGAUAGUUCCUGAAAUGAUGGAAACUGGUGUUUGUUUGAUCUUACACUUCUGUGUUUGAUCACAGAAGGCUCACAGUCAGGAAAUACGUCAGGAUGAAUGAUUGGAUCUGAUGGAAAUACUUACUCCCCAGCAAACCAAGGCCCUGGGCAUUUUUUCUGGGAAACCAGAGAUGGAACUGGCCAGAGAGUCCGUCCUCCCUUCAAAUUUGACUUUAAACUGUGGUAGUGGUCUUCUUCUUGGCUGAUGGAAGUAACAUCAGGAACUCAGAAAACACGUAAGAAACCAGUCAAUCAGAAAUAAAGGGGGCCCAGUGGAGGCAGGAGGAUCAGGAGUUCAAGGUCAUCCUCACCUACACAGCAAGUCUGAGGCCAGCCUGGACUAUGCCAGAACCUGCUUUAAAACAGUAAUAAAAACUCUAUUUAUGGACUGGCAGUAGUGGCACACAUCUUUAAUCCCAGCACUUGGGAGGCAGAGGUAGGUGGCUGUCUGUGAGUUAGAGGUCAGUCCGUUCUACACAUCAAGCUCCAGGACAGCCAAAGCUACACAGAGAAACCUUGUCUCAAAAAAUAAAUAAAUAAAUAAAUAAAUAAAA